UGGCCAGACUCCUACGGGAGGCAGCAGUGAGGAAUAUUGGUCAAUGGGCUUACGCCUGAACCAGCCAAGUCGCGUGAGGGAAGACUGCCCUAUGGGUUGUAAACCUCUUUUGUCAGGGAGCAAUUGGCGCUACGUGUAGCGUUAUCGAGAGUACCUGAAGAAAAGGCAUCGGCUAACUCCGUGCCAGCAGCCGCGGUAAUACGGAGGAUGCGAGCGUUAUCCGGAUUUAUUGGGUUUAAAGGGUGCGUAGGCGGAAGGUUAAGUCAGCGGUCAAAUGUCGGUGCUCAACACCGGCCUGCCGUUGAAACUGGUCUUCUUGAGUGAGCGAGAAGUAUGCGGAAUGCGUGGUGUAGCGGUGAAAUGCAUAGAUAUCACGCAGAACUCCGAUUGCGAAGGCAGCAUACCGGCGCUCAACUGACGCUGAGGCACGAAAGCGUGGGGAUCGAACAGGAUUAGAUACCCCAGUAA
rnacentral:rRNA from 1 species